AUUGAACGCUGGCGGCAUGCCUUACACAUGCAAGUCGAACGGCAGCACGGGUGCUUGCACCUGGUGGCGAGUGGCGAACGGGUGAGUAAUACAUCGGAACGUACCUUAUCGUGGGGGAUAACACAGGGAAAGAUUCGCUAAUACCGCAUACGACCUGCGGGGGAAAGCGGGGGACCGUAAGGCUGCGCGCGAUUACAACGGCGGAUUGCUGAUUAGCUUGUUGGUGGGGUAAAAGCUCACCAAGGCGAUGAUCAGUAGCUGGUCUGAGAAGACGAUCAGCCACACUGGGACUGAGACACGGACCAGACUCCUACGGGAGGCAGCAGUGGGGAAUUUUGGACAAUGGGGGCAACCCUGAUCCAGCAAUGCCGCGUGAGUGAAGAAGGCCUUCGGGUUGUAAAGCUCUUUUGUCAGGGAAGAAACAGCAGCUCUAACACAGUCUGCGAAUGACGGUACCUGAAGAAUAAGCACCGGCUAACUACGUGCCAGCCGCCGCCGUAA
rnacentral:rRNA from 1 species